rnacentral:lncRNA from 10 species
AUGUUGUGUGUGUGUGUGUGUGUGUGUGUGUGUGAUAGAGACAGAAUGAGAGAGAGACAGAAAUACAGAGAGAAGGAGGUAAAGGGUGUAGAAGGAAUGAGUGUGAGCGAUAAUAAGGCUUUUCCAGAUAAAAGCAAGCCACUUUAUGCCAAUGUGGAUUGUCUUUCUGUUUUUUUAUAUGCCCAGCAUUUUCAUUCUCAGGUACUCAUUAACAGUUUCUUUGAGAUUUGGAGAAGAGGAAAUCAGGAUGACUGGCAAUGUUGGAAAUUGAGAAUAGAAUUGAAAGAAGCCUGUGACAAAGAUCAGUACUUAUUGUGGAUGAUGGGGACCCUCACCAAGUACCUGAAGACCCCUCUGUCUACCAGCACUAACUUUUUAUCAACUUGGACUUUAUUCUCUCAUUGAUAUCCAGACAACUUGGAGCCAAGUCCUCACAGCUGGAUCAGACAACUUUUGGUGACAUCUCACAGUGUGGAUUAUCAAGCCAAUGUAUUAGUCUGGAGGCUAGUUUUUUUGCCUUUAGCUUUGCUCGGGAUGACUUCUGCUCUUCUAUGGCAAUACUUGAGAGGGUAAGGUAGUUUUUGUUCUCAUUUUUUGUUUCAUCAUUUUAAUCCAUGUUUCCUAGAAUCUACCUCUUUCUUUACCUCAUUCUAUCAUUUUUCUAAUCGGGCCAUCAGUUACUUACUCUUGCAACGUGUACUCCAGCACCAUUUCAUGUAUAUGCUUAAACUAAUUCAUAGAACACUAUUACUAUUAAUAUUUGCAUUUCUUUUCACGGUAUGCAUCUAGAAAUCCUCAGCUAUUUUUUUGUUUUCUUCAUGAAAUUUUUAAUUCUAGGAACUUUUCAUAUGAGAUACAAAAAAUGGUUAAAUUCAAAUAACACCAUGUCCACCAUAUUGGUUCCCUAAUUAGAGCCAAGAUCACAAAAUCCAUGAUACAGUGUUGAGAGCACAAUCUCACAUACCUCACAGACUUGCCUUUGACUACUGGCUCCUCCAGUUGCCAGCUCUGUGACUUUGAGCAAAUUUCUUAACCUUUCUGGGUCUGUUUCCUCAUUUACAGAGUGGAGAUAAUAAUACCUCAUUUUCAUAGUUCUUCAGUGGAUUAAAUGUCAAUGGUCUAUCACUUUGCCUAGCAUGAUAGCAAGGUAUUCAGUAUAUGCUAAUUAUUAGUUUUAUAUAACUAUGAAGUCUUACAGAAUUGGUGAACUAAAUAUGUGACACACUUAUUGUGAUUGAAUUUUUGCAUAUGUGUUUGUUUCCAUCAAGAGAGAAGAGCAAGAAACAUACAACUUUUCCUUUUUCUUUUCCAAGAUUUUUUAAAAAUUGAGUACCUCUCCCUGAGAUUAUGGAGGUUUUAAAAUGUCCUUUAGGGUUCAGUGUGAUCAUCUGGAUUCCUUUACUCACUCUAGAAGAUCGGAGGCAGAUUUUCAUCUGUUUUAGGAGAGUAACCUUAGGAGAAUGUUGAAUGUUGAAUACAAGUACUACUAAAAAGUAGCAAAAAUUGCUCUAGGUACAUUUAUUGUUUUCUUCCAUUGUAUACAUUCCACUUUUUUUUUUUUUUUUUUGUGGCAACAGUCCCUGAUUUUCAUUUAGGAAUCCAACCAUUGCCCAUUCUUACUCCUUGUGGUCAGGGUGAAGGGAGGAGUUUAUCUCUGACUUAGGAGGGUAAAGAAUGUUGCUUGGAUAUUAGUGGACAGGGAUGGGUGAGCAUGUGACCUGGGAUGUCUAAGGCAGGGUGAAUCUCAGGACUAUUGUGGGAACUACCAGUAAAGAGAUAGCAUUCCUCCUCCACUUCUUCCCCCAACCCCGUGGCCCCUGCACCUUGAGAUUUGAACAGGGGAGAAUGUAGGCCGAGCUGCUACAGCCAGCUCACGACUAUGUGUCAAAAUUGGAGUAAACAGAGAGAAAAGCAGAGCUGAGAGAUUGAGAGACUCACCCAAUCUUGAUGAUAUCCUUUGAGCCUCGGAGUGAGGACAGCCUGCUAUCCCCAUUUCAAGACUUUUCAGUUACAUGAACCAAUACAUUCUCCCUUUCAUUUAAUAAGGUUUGAGUUGUUCUAUUACUUCAAGCAGAAUUAGAACUGAUAUAAUUGCUAUUUACUUUUUGCUGUGUUCUGCAUUCAUAAUAAAUAUAAAAAACAUAGCAAGAUAACCAGGGGUAUAUUAAUGAAAGGGUGGUAAUAGAGAAAGGGGAGGAAGAGGAAUAACAAGCCCUCCCCUUGGUCCUUUCAUGUCUCCUCUUUUCCUUCAGAUCAAAGAUCAGAUCCCUUAACCAGUAUUAUCACAUUAUACUUUCUAAGUUUUAUUUUGUUUUUAAUUAACAUCUAAUAAUUGUGCAUGUUUAUAUUUAAGUGAUGUUUCUUUUUUUUUUUUUUUUUUUUUUUGAGGCGGAGUCUCGCUCUGUGGCCCAGGCUGGAGUGCAGUGGCGCAAUCUCGGCUCACUGCAAGCUCCGCCUCCCGGGUUCCCGCCAUUCUCCUGCCUCAGCCUCCCGAGUAGCUGGGACUACAGGCGCCGCCACCACGCCCGGCUAAUUUUUUUUGUAUUUUUAGUGGAGACGGGGUUUCAUUGUGUUAGCCAGGAUGGUCUCGAUCUCCUGACCUCGUGAUCCGCCCGCCUCGGCCUCCCAAAGUGCUGGGAUUACAGGCUUGAGCCACCGCGCCCGGCCUAAGU